rnacentral:misc_RNA from 1 species
AAAGUCGUAACAAGGUUUCCGUAGGUGAACCUGCGGAAGGAUCAUUAACAAAUUCAAAACUCGUGUUCUUGUGUUGCAAAGCUGUCGUUUCUUCAGAAAGGCCAGCAUUGCAGCACGGGGGGCAGACUUCCCCAACCAGGGUCGACUGCAUCAUAAUACACAAACCUUAGACAACAUACCAAGUAGAACUUGAUAAUCGUAAACAACUUUUAACAAUGGAUCUCUUGGCUCUU